UACGUAGGGUGCGAGCGUUAAUCGGAAUUACUGGGCGUAAAGCGUGCGCAGGCGGUUGGUUAAGUCUGAUGUGAAAGCCCCGAGCUCAACUUGGGAAUGGCAUUGGAAACUGGCUGGCUAGAGUGUGGCAGAGGGGGGUGGAAUUCCGCGUGUAGCAGUGAAAUGCGUAGAGAUGCGGAGGAACACCGAUGGCGAAGGCAGCCCCCUGGGCUGACACUGACACUCAGGCACGAAAGCGUGGGGAGCAAACAGG
rnacentral:rRNA from 1 species